rnacentral:tRNA from 1 species
GUCUUCGUGGUGUAAUGGUCAGCACACUCGGCGCCUACUCGAGAGGUCCAGGUUCAAGUCCUGGCGAACGCA